UCAAGCUAAUAAGAGCACAGGGUGGAUGCCCAGGCACCAAACGCCGACGAAAGACGUGGCAAGCUGCGAAAAGUCACGGGGAACCGCAAGCAGGUAUUGAUCCGUGAACGUCUGAAUGGGGAAACCCGGCGGGUUAACAGCCCGUCACUAUUAACUGAAUCAAUAGGUUAAUAGGGGGAACGCGGGGAACUGAAACAUCUCAGUACCCGUAGGAAGAGAAAAUAAAGAAUGAUUUCCUAAGUAGCGGCGAGCGAACGGGAAAGAGGCCAAACCGAAGGGCUUGCUCUUCGGGGUUGUGGAUCAGCGAUAAGUACGGAAGACCUUAGCAGAAGAGGAUUGGAAAGUCCCGCCAGAGAGGGUAAAAGCCCCUUACGCGAAAAGGUCAAACGACGAGCUGACACCAGAGUACCGCAGGACACGAGAAAUCCGGUGGGAAGCCGGGAGGACCACCUCCCAAGCCUAAAUACGAAUUGGUGACCGAUAGCGCAUAGUACCGUGAGGGAAAGGUGAAAAGAACCCCGGGAGGGGAGUGAAAAAGAACCUGAAACCCUGUGUUUACAAGCAGUGAAAGUGCGAGCAAGGCACGAUCACGUACUUUUUGUAGAACGGACCGGCGAGUUACGUUAUGCAGCAAGGUUAAGAACUGAAGGUUCGGAGCCGAAGCGAAAGCGAGUCUGAAUAGGGCGAUAGUUGCAUGACGUAGACCCGAAACCGGGUGACCUAUCCAUGAGCAGGUUGAAGUGGAGGUAAAGCUCCAUGGAGGACCGAACCAGACGUCUGUUGAAAAAGGCGGGGAUGACUUGUGGAUAGGGGAGAAAUUCCAAUCGAACCCGGAGAUAGCUGGUUCUCCUCGAAAUAGCUUUAGGGCUAGCCUCAUGGAUCAUUGGUGGGGGUAGAGCACUGAAUGUGCGCGGGGGCCACAAAGCCUACCAAACGCUAUCAAACUUCGAAUACCAUACAAUGCAGACCAUGGGAGUCAGUCCGCGAGAGAUAAGUUCCGCGGGCAAAAGGGGAACACCCCAGAUCAACCGCUAAGGUCCCUAAGUUCACGUUAAGUGGAGAAGGAUGUGGAAUUGCACAGACAACCAGGAUGUUGGCUCAGAAGCAGCCACACAUUUAAAGAGUGCGUAAUAGCUCACUGGUCGAGUGAUUGUGCGCCGAAGAUGUCCGGGGCUAAACGUGACACCGAAGCGAUGGGUGCGUCUGAAGAAGAUGCGCGGUAGAGGAGCAAUGUGCAGAGGCAGAAGCCGUAUCGAGAGGCACGGUGGACACUGCACAAGAGAGAAUGCCGGUAUGAGUAGCGAGAGGCAUGCGAGAAACAUGCCCGUCGAAAGCCCAAGGUUUCCUGGGGAAGGUUCAUCCGCCCAGGGUAAGUCGGGGCCUAAGCCGAGGACGGAAGUCGUAGGCGAUGGACAGCAGGUGUAGAUUCCUGCACUACCGAUGGAAUGAAGCAGUGACACAGAAGGAUAACUCGAGCAGGGUGAUGGUCAACCCUGUGCAAGCAUCAAGGUUGGGUUGUAGUGAAGUACGCAACCCUAUAAGCUGAGGUGUGAUGCGGACCGAAAUUUCAGUAGGGAAGCGAGUGAGUUCACGCUGGCGAGAAAAGCUGCUAGUACAUCCAAAGGUACCCGUACCGGAAACCGACGCAGGUGGGCGAGGAGAGAAUCCUGAGACGAACGGGAGAACCCUUGUUAAGGAACUCGGCAAAAUGACCCCGUAACUUCGGGAUAAGGGGUGCCUGCGAGAGCAGGCCGCAGAGAAUAGUCACAAGCGACUGUUUAGCAAAAACACAGGUAUCUGCGAAAGCGAGAGCUGACGUAUAGGUGCUGACACCUGCCCGGUGCUGGAAGGUUAAGGGAACAUGUUAGAGCAAUCGAAGCAUCGAACCGAAGCCCCAGUAAACGGCGGCCGUAACUAUAACGGUCCUAAGGUAGCGAAAUUCCUUGUCGGGU
rnacentral:rRNA from 1 species